UGACAUUAUAAUCAGUACUGCCAUACUUUACUGGCUAUGCCCUAUCUCAUCUGAUUUUGGAAGCUAAGCAGUGAAAUUCAUGGUCAGUACUUGGAUGGGAGACCACCUAGGAAUACCAGGUGCAACAUUGGCAAUUUACUGAAUAUGGAAGAAUAUGGACUACAUAUAGAGCCAUAACAAUGCCUACCAGGCCAUGGAACAAACAGUGUCAUUUACAA